CCCUUAGACGUUCUGGGCCGCACGCGCGCUACACUGACCAGUGCAACAAGCAUCCGUCCUUGGCCGACAGGCCCGGGCAAUCUUUGAACGCUGGUCGUGAUGGGGAUAGACUUUUGCAAUUUUUGGUCUUCAACGAGGAAUUCCUAGUAAACGCAAGUCAUCAACUUGCAUUGAUUACGUCCCUGCCCUUUGUACACACCGCCCGUCGCACCUACCGAUUGAAUGGUCCGGUGAAGCCUCCGGAUUGGCGCGCACCUCGGUGCCGCCGAGAAGUUGGCUAAUCCUUACCAUUUAGAGGAAGGUGAAGUCGUAACA
rnacentral:rRNA from 1 species